CCCUUAGAUGUUCUGGGCCGCACGCGCGCUACACUGAUGCAUUCAACGAGUUUCUUCCUGGUCCGAGAGGAAUGGGUAACCUUUUGAAAGUGCAUCGUGAUAGGGAUAGACUAUUGCAAUUAUUGGUCUUCAACGAGGAAUUCCUAGUAGACGUAGUUCAUCAGACUGCAUCGAUUACGUCCCUGCCCUUUGUACACACCGCCCGUCGCUCCUACCGAUUGAAUGCUCAGGUGAGCCAUUCGGACCUUCAUCAUGCCGGUUUCCGGUUUUGAUGAGGGAAAGUCUUGUGAACCUUAUCAUUUAGAGGAAGGAGAAGUCGUAACA
rnacentral:rRNA from 1 species